rnacentral:lncRNA from 1 species
UAGAGAAAAUAAUGACCUUGGGCAAUGACAAAAAUGUACGUUUUACACUUCCCUAAGAACACUUUGUAUAAAAAGAGAAACACAUCCUAUAUGUUACGGGGUUGUAUAAUGGCGACAGGACAAUAUAAACUUAUUACAAUGUUUUUAAUAUUUCAUUUAUACCUAAUGAUUGAAUUGUCAAUAAAUGAGGGGCAAAAUAUACCAGAGGG